rnacentral:lncRNA from 1 species
UAAGCAUAAACGAAUACAUUACAAGUCAUAUAACAAAUAUAAACAUAUGCAGACUUGUAAACAAAACAACUUGAUGGUUCAUCCAUCUCAUGCCCUUCCGCCACCACCUGUAAUACAAUUUAAAACUGAGUGGGUCAGGCUUGGGAGCCUGGUGAGCAUAUAGGGUUUUCAACCCACAAUAAAUAUCAUAUUUAAUUUUCACCAACCAACAAUAACCCAAUUACCCAUUCCCGUUAUUCUCACUUUAAUGUCCCUAAAACAACUAACAUAAGGGACCUAGUCUAAGAAUAUUUCAUCGGGGCGACAACACAUGCUUCGGGGGUACCUCAGCAAUAUAAGUCAAAUAAGGCAACCAUGAGGGGGAUGGAGUACAGCGAAUGAACACCCAAGUUCAUUAACACCUACAGGUGGCGAACCUGCUAAUGUUUCCACAAGACUGUCUAGAAUAGCCAGUGGUCGUCAUCUAAACUCCGCUAGAUGACUCAAUCAAACAACAACGAGGCCUCUCAUCUGUUUAUUACACACCAACUGUCUACCCAUGUUCUACCCAACAUAUUAGUAGAUAAAAAUAUACAUUUGUAUACAUAGUUUAAAGAAAACCUGUAUAGCAUGCUUUAAUCAACACAUAUAUCACAUAACAGAUGAGGCACACACACACAUAACACAUAUCUCAUAAAGAAAUAAGCAGAUCUAUAAGAUAGAAGAGAGUGAAUACUCAUUCACACAUAACACAACCAAAUAUAUACACAUAGCACGUAUUUUUAUAUAAAAUACUUCGUAUUAUUGUAUUAGAAGAAAUAACUACACACUCACUUGAUCAGAAGAUGAUCGGACAGCACUACGGCUUAUAGAAGUAGUAAUCCACAGCAGAUCUGGAAGAUCUUCUCGAAAAUCGAACUUCUCGCGGGCAGAGCUUCGACUCGGGAACCGCACUUUUCGGGAUCUUCAGGAUCUCGGGACUUGCCUCGGGGCUAGAGUAUGAUACCGGGACUUCGGGGUAGCUUCGGGGGUUUUUGCACAGAGCUUCGACACGAAAACGAGAGGGAAUUGGCAAAAAUACCCGGAACCCUCGCAUCCUAUUUAUAGGAGGCUGGAGCCUCGGAGUACGCGGGGCGUACUGCGUUACGCGGGGCGUACUGCCCAAAACGUCAUUGCUUACGUAUCCGAAGUGCUCGAGUGCGAGUGUCGACAUCCCUCGGAGUACGCGGGGCGUACUCGAGUACGCGGGGCGUACCUCGGAUCAGAUCGGUGACUCCUUCGGAUAAUGCUUCCGAAUUUUGAAUUAAAAAUAAAUACAAAAUGAUUAAUAAACUUCGGAAAUUCAUAACUUCUUCAUACGAACUCCGUUUUCGACGUUCUUUAUAUCCACGCGAAGGUGAGACCACGCUCUACGACUUUCGUUUAGACUCCGUCGGCUAAUUUUGACUUUAUUUUUAUUAAUUAUUUUUAAUAGGCCGGGACAGAAACUUUCGUUAUAAAUUCAUAACUUCUUCGUUUGACGUCCGUUCUCGCCUAACUUUUUAUCGUUUCAAUACCAACAAUGAGAUCUUCGAUUCUCAUUUAGAUUGCUUCGGCUAACAACCGCUCGAUCUCAAAUCGAGUAAAACAGGCUGUAUAUCGCUAAGCCGGAACUUCGAUAAAUCAUAACUUCCUCAUACGAAGUCAGAUUUGGGCGUUCUAUAUAUAUUCGGAAACCUCGUUUCAACUACUACAACAUUAACCAAAGAUAUUAAGUUUAUUUUACACUUAAAUUUUGACGCUUAUUUUUAUUCUUAAUUAAUCAAACCACAUAAUUAAGCAAUUAAGCACAAAACACAUAAUACUCAAAUAAUACAAUCUUAUUAUUUCAAAACGGGUUACAAAGGUUAACCUAGACUAUUACAUUGCUAAAAAUGGCAAGCCCGGAAACACAGGCGUUACAAUUCUCUCCACCUUAGAAUGAUUCCGUCCCCGGAAUCACACAUCAACAAACAAAUGCGGAUAGCGACUCAACAUGUCACUCUCCGUCUCCCAGGUGAGAUUCGGCCCAUUCGUGUGUUUCCAUCGGACAAGCACUAACCCAACCAUUUUGCGUCGCAACUUCUUAGUCUUUCGGUCAACAAUUGCCUCUGGUUCUUCAAUCAACCUUUUGUUCUCAUCAAUUCUCAAUUCAGAAAUUGGAAUUAUAUCGGGAACUUCUCCCGUGAACUUCCUCAAAUAACACACAUGAAAGGUGUUGUGAAUUCCAUUCAGUUCUUCGGGUAAUUCGAGCUUGUAAGCUUGAUUCCCAAUCCUCUGAAGGACUUUAAACGGUCCAAUAAACCUUGGACUCAACUUUCCCCUUUUACCAAAUCUUAUAAGUCCCUUCCACGGCGAGACUUUAAGCAAAACCGAAUCUCCAACCUCAAAAGUCAUCGGUCUUCGCUUCUUGUCAGCAUAGCUCUUUUGACGAUCUUGAGCUGCUAACAUUCUUUCCCUAAUUAUUUUCAACUUUUCAGCAGUUUGAUGAACCAUCUCCGGUCCCAUAAACUGCUUUUCCCCAGCCUCAAGCCAACAAGACGGCGUACGACACUUCUGUCCAUACAAAGCUUGAUAAGGUGCCAUCUUAAUGCUCGAGUGAAAACUAUUAUUAUAGGAAAAUUCUACCAACGGUAAAUGUUCAUCCCAAUUACCUAGGAAUUCCAAGGUACAUGCUCUCAGCAUAUCUUCAAGUGUUUGUAUUGUUCUUUCACUCUGACCAUCAGUCUGCGGAUGGUAAGCUGUGCUUAAACAUAACUUGGUACCCAUUUCCUCUUGUAGACUUUUCCAAAACCUUGAGGUGAAACGGCUAUCACGAUCCGAUACAAUCGUUAACGGAACACCGUGAAGCCUCACAAUUUCCUUCACGUAAGAAUUCGCAAGCUUUUCCAUAGACCAUUUCUCCCUGGCCGCUAUGAAAUGCGCACUCUUAGUGAAUCGAUCAACGACCACCCAAAUCAUGUCGUGACCAUUCUUUGUUCUGGGCAGUUUAGUGACAAAAUCCAUAGCAAUGUCUUCCCACUUACCCAUAGGCACAGGCAAUGGUUCUAAACUCCCGUAAGGUUUCUGAUGUUGUGUCUUGACUCUCGCACAAGUCACACACUCGGCCACAUACUUUGCAACAUCAAGCUUCAUCGUCGGCCACCAGUAGUAGGGUUUCAGGUCCCUAUACAUUUUAGUGCUACCCGGAUGAAUUGAGUACAUGGUUUUGUGAGCUUCUUCCAUCAGAAGAUCCCUAAUUCCUCCUGACUUAGGUACCCAAAUACGAUCUUGGAAUACCUUCAGUCCAUGACCGUUAGUACCAAACACCAACGUUUUACCCAAACGUUCCUCCUUUCGGUCAUUUUUCUCAGAAGCUUCCUCUUGAGCUUUCUUUAUACUUUCCACAAUAGUCGAGACAACUUCAAUUCUCAACGCUCUUGGCCUCUUCCUUUCAAGAUUGACUUUCCGACUGAGAGCAUCAGCAACAACAUUAGCUUUACCGGGGUGGUAAAGUAUCUCGCAGUCGUAGUCUUUAAGUAAUUCUAGCCAGCGUCGUUGCCUCAUAUUCAAUUCUUUCUGAUUAAAGAGGUAUUGGAGACUCUUAUGAUCAGUGAAAAGUUUGCACUUCGUGCCAUAGAGGUAAUGCCUCCAUAUUUUCAGAGCGAAAACUACCGCUGCCAACUCCAAAUCAUGAGUCGGGUAAUUCUUUUCAUGCUCUUUCAGCUGUCGAGACGCAUAUGCUAUCACCUUUUCUCUUUGGGUCAAAACACAACCCAAUCCAACACCAGACGCAUCGCUAUAAACAGCGAAGUCUUCAACUCCAUCGGGUAGAGAAAGUAUCGGUGCCUCGCAUAGCUUCUUCUUUAACUUCUCGAAUGCUUCUUUAUGCUUCUCACUCCAAGCAUAAGUAGCUCCUUUGUGGGUCAAAGCUGUUAAUGGAGUAGCAAUCGAAGAAAAGCCUUGGAUAAACCUUCGGUAAUAUCCGGCUAAUCCUAAAAAGCUUCGAAUCUCCGUGGGACUUUUCGGUUGUUCCCACUUCGUCACAGCUUCGAUCUUCGCUGGAUCAACCAUUAUCCCUUCUUGGUUGACCACGUGACCCAAGAAUUGGACCUCACGAAUCCAAAAAUCACAUUUGGAGAACUUCGCAUAAAGCUUCUCCUUCUUCAAAACUUCUAACACUUCUCGCAAGUGUCUGCCAUGCUCCUCCUGGCUUUUCGAGUAGAUCAGAAUGUCGUCUAUGAACACUAUCACGGAUUUAUCAAGGAAAGGAUUACAAACCCUAUUCAUCAAAUCCAUGAACGCUGCUGGAGCAUUGGUUAGUCCAAACGACAUAACCAAGAACUCGUAGUGUCCAUAUCUAGUUCUGAAUGCAGUCUUCUCGAUAUCUUGCUCUCUUACUUUCAGCUGAUGAUAUCCUGACCUAAGAUCGAUCUUCGAGAAAUAGCUCGAACCUUGCAAUUGAUCAAACAGGUCAUCAAUCCUCGGCAACGGAUAUCUAUUCUUUAUUGUUGCCUUGUUCAGCUCUCUGUAAUCGAUGCACAUUCUCAUACUUCCAUCUUUCUUCUUUACAAAUAACACCGGAGCUCCCCAGGGCGAUGAACUAGGUCUAAUGAAACCUUUGUCCAAUAACUCCUGAAGUUGCAUCAUCAGCUCCUUCAUCUCCGUCGGUGCUAAUCGAUAAGGUGCUUUUGCUAUUGGCGUGGUUCCUGGUAACAAGUCUAUUCUGAACUCCACUUGUCUAUCAGGUGGUAAUCCAGGAAGAUCCUCGGGAAAUACUUCCGGAUAAUCACACACCACUGGAAUGCUCUGCAUCACCUUCUUUUCUUUCUUAGCAUCAAUCACGAAUGCUAAAUAUGAUGUACAUCCCUUGGUCAAACACUUUCUGGCUUUCAUUAGAGAAAUGAUUCCAGAAUUCACUCUGCGUUUGUCCCCAUACACCAUAAACGAAUCUUUCCCAGGCGGGUUUACUUUAACUAUCUUCUUCUUGCACAAAAUUUCGGCAUCAUUGGCGCUAAGCCAAUCCAUUCCCAAGACGAUGUCGAAACCAUUUAGUUCGAUAGGCAAUAAUUCCUCGAGAAACUUAUUCCCAUUAAGGUCGAUCAAGACGUUUUUCAUACGAUGGCUAACAGGUACAAACUUGCCACUAGCUACUUCGACUAAUAAAGCAUUAUCUAGUCUAUCAACAGGCAAAGCUAGCUUUCUACCAAACUCAUGCGAAAUAAAGGAGUAGUUGGCUCCAGAAUCAAACAAUAUAUGAGCAGGUAAUUCGUUUACGAGAAAGGUACCUGAAGCGACAUCAGCUUCAUCUUUCGCAGCCUCAAGUGUCAUCUGGAAGGCUCUCGCCUUCGGCUUUGGUGGAAUGUUGGGCCUAGCUGCCUCCUUCUUCUUCGGACAGUCUUUCAAAAUAUGCCCCUCUUCAUUACACCCAAAACACAUCCUUUUGUUGUUCGGACAUUCAUUGGCAAAAUGUCCAACCUUUCCACACUUGUAGCAGGUCACAUCCUCGCUACAUUUCCCAAAGUGCUUUUUCUUACACUUAUCACACCACUUUGCUUCGCCUCCUUUUCCUCCAAACUUUUUCGAAUCAGAUUUCGAAAAUUUGCUCUUCUUACUGGAACCAGAUGUUCCUUCAAACUUCCUUUUCUCACCAACCUCAACCUUGACGGUGGUUCUCCCCUUGAUCAUGUUCUCCACAGACUUGGCAGCCCAGAUAGCUGCCUCUAGAGUAAGUGCCUGACGUACCGGCACCUCGUACUCCCAUGGAAGUCCCUUCGCAUACCGAUCCACCUUUGUCAGCUCGUCUGGAACGAUACGCAAGGCAAACUCCAUCUUAUCGGUGAAGUUAUUGGUGUACUCAUCCACUGACAUGCUACCCUUCGUCAAUGUCAAAAACUUGUUCUCCAACUCCAACAGAUUUUGAGCCGAGCAGAACUUGCGCUUGAACUGCACCAAGAACUCUGCCCAUGACAAUUGCAGUGGCUCAUUAGGGCUUAAGGUCUUCCCUAGAGUGUUCCACCAACGAACGGCUCCACCUCGGAAUUGUCGCACGGCAUAGAUAGUCUGCAACUUGCCUCUACAGCCACAUGUCAUAAAGGCUAACUCCAUUUCGGAGAUCCAAUCCAUAACCCCAAUCGGAUCCUCCUUUCCAUUGAAGGUCGAUGGUUUACAAGUCAAAAAGUCCUUGUACUUGCAUCCCAUUCCAUCAUUCCUUCCAUCAUGGUUAUCUUGCCUAACUAUCGGUGGGUUGGCUGGACCAACAGACCCACUGAAGUUUCCACCUUCCGAGUGCCCUUCAUUCAGUUCAGGCUCUUCCACACGAAUCGACAGUUCUUCACGAUUUUGUUGAAGCAACCGUCUAGUUUCAUCCAUCUGACGAUCCAACAUCGUCUGAAUCAUCAAUUGCACACCAGCCAUGGUUAUUGGCUCAGGUGCUGCUGCUACGACAGGUAUUGGCUCAAUCACUGGUGGUUGAUUCCUGUUUUCGUCAGCAUUUCCAACUCCACUUCUUGUUCUCACCAUUUUGAUCUACACCGAAUAAGGUGAAAUUAGAUCCUCAAUCAUGAUAGAUAUUCAAAUCAUCCUUAUCACUCCGAAACGUUUACAUGCUAGUUCUAAUAUCGUAGACGUACGCUUAGAAUCCUACACACAUAAGGUUUCUAGAUCCGGUCGGCAACAGACCAUAGAUCCGAACAAAUAAUAUCAUAUAUGGCAACAUAUAACAUUUAGCACAUAAAGCAUUUUAGGCAACUUUCCUAAAAUAAACUAGUGCUCGUGUCUAAAUCACAACAGACACACAUCUCAAAACUUCACUUAGCAUUCUAAGUUUAAGUCUAGAAAUCCUACAAAUUCCUAGUUCGCUUAAACUAAUGCUCUGAUACCAACUGUGACAUCCCCAAAAUCUCGGCCAGAAAAGACCGAUUUUCAUUUAUGCUUUUAAAUAUUUUCAGAGUAAAUCCUUUUGAUUUGAAAGAGUUGCGGAAUUUGUUCCCAAAAACAAAACAUGAUAAAACAUUGUUUACCGAAGCAUUUCAUAAAAGAAAUGUAUUUUCAUUAUAAUCAAAACUCGGGGUGUCAUGUUCCGAUACAGACCAAUAAGCAUAAACGAAUACAUUACAAGUCAUAUAACAAAUAUAAACAUAUGCAGACUUGUAAACAAAACAACUUGAUGGUUCAUCCAUCUCAUGCCCUUCCGCCACUACCUGUAAUACAAUUUAAAACUGAGUGGGUCAGGCUUGGGAGCCUGGUGAGCAUAUAGGGUUUUCAACCCACAAUAAAUAUCAUAUUUAAUUUUCACCAACCAACAAUAACCCAAUUACCCAUUCCCGUUAUUCUCACUUUAAUGUCCCUAAAACAACUAACAUAAGGGACCUAGUCUAAGAAUAUUUCAUCGGGGCGACAACACAUGCUUCGGGGGUACCUCAGCAAUA